rnacentral:rRNA from 1 species
CUCGGUGAUCUGAGCGAGAUGGAACGACCUGAUCCCAUUCCGAACUCAGAAGUCAAACGUCUUAGCGUCGACAAUACCUGAGUCGCAAGGCUCCGGGAAGAUAGGUCAUUGCCGAGG